AUAAUGAUUCCGCAUGGUUUCAUUAUUAAAGGAUUCCGGUAAAGGAUGGGGAUGCGUUCCAUUAGGUUGUUGGUGAGGUAACGGCUCACCAAGCCUUCGAUGGAUAGGGGUUCUGAGAGGAAGGUCCCCCACAUUGGAACUGAGACACGGUCCAAACUCCUACGGGAGGCAGCAGUGAGGAAUAUUGGUCAAUGGGCGCUAGCCUGAACCAGCCAAGUAGCGUGAAGGAUGAAGGCUCUAUGGGUCGUAAACUUCUUUUAUAUAAGAAUAAAGUGCAGUAUGUAUACUGUUUUGUAUGUAUUAUAUGAAUAAGGAUCGGCUAACUCCGUGCCAGCAGCCGCGGUAAUACGGAGGAUCCGAGCGUUAUCCGGAUUUAUUGGGUUUAAAGGGAGCGUAGGUGGACUGGUAAGUCAGUUGUGAAAGUUUGCGGCUCAACCGUAAAAUUGCAGUUGAUACUGUCAGUCUUGAGUACAGUAGAGGUGGGCGGAAUUCGUGGUGUAGCGGUGAAAUGCUUAGAUAUCACGAAGAACUCCGAUUGCGAAGGCAGCUCACUGGACUGCAACUGACACUGAUGCUCGAAAGUGUGGGUAUCAAACAGGAUUAGAUACCCUGGUAGUCCACACAGUAAACGAUGAAUACUCGCUGUUUGCGAUAUACAGUAAGCGGCCAAGCGAAAGCAUUAAGUAUUCCACCUGGGGAGUACGCCGGCAACGGUGAAACUCAAAGGAAUUGACGGGGGCCCGCACAAGCGGAGGAACAUGUGGUUUAAUUCGAUGAUACGCGAGGAACCUUACCCGGGCUUAAAUUGCAGUGGAAUGAUGUGGAAACAUGUCAGUGAGCAAUCACCGCUGUGAAGGUGCUGCAUGGUUGUCGUCAGCUCGUGCCGUGAGGUGUCGGCUUAAGUGCCAUAACGAGCGCAACCCUUAUCUUUAGUUACUAACAGGUUAUGCUGAGGACUCUGGAGAGACUGCCGUCGUAAGAUGUGAGGAAGGUGGGGAUGACGUCAAAUCAGCACGGCCCUUACGUCCGGGGCUACACACGUGUUACAAUGGGGGGUACAGAAGGCAGCUAGCGGGUGACCGUAUGCUAAUCCCAAAAGCCUCUCUCAGUUCGGAUCGAAGUCUGCAACCCGACUUCGUGAAGCUGGAUUCGCUAGUAAUCGCGCAUCAGCCACGGCGCGGUGAAUACGUUCCCGGGCCUUGUACACACCGCCCGUCAAGCCAUGGGAGCCGGGGGUACCUGAAGUACGUAACCGCAAGGAUCGUCCUAGGGUAAAACUGGUGACUGGGGCUAAGUCGUAACAAGGUAGCCGUACCGGAAGGUGCGGCUGGAACACCU
rnacentral:rRNA from 1 species